AAUUCAAGAUUUCGGAUCUCCGUAGUUUUGACCAUUUUAUCCAACCUAAUAAUGUGAUAAAUGCAUCUUAACUGCGGUGAUCUGGAUUUUGUGAAC
rnacentral:pre_miRNA from 18 species